rnacentral:rRNA from 1 species
AGUGAGCGCUGGCGGUAGGCCUAACACAUGCGAGUCGAACGGCAGCACAGUAAGAGCUUGCUCUUACGGGUGGCGAGUGGCGGACGGGUGAGGAAUACAUCGGAAUCUACUUUUUCGUGGGGGAUAACGUAGGGAAACUUACGCUAAUACCGCAUACGACCUACGGGUGAAAGCAGGGGAUCUUCGGACCUUGCGCGAUUGAAUGAGCCGAUGUCGGAUUAGCUAGUUGGCGGGGUAAAGGCCCACCAAGGCGACGAUCCGUAGCUGGUCUGAGAGGAUGAUCAGCCACACUGGAACUGAGACACGGUCCAGACUCCUACGGGAGGCAGCAGUGGGGAAUAUUGGACAAUGGGCGCAAGCCUGAUCCAGCCAUACCGCGUGGGUGAAGAAGGCCUUCGGGUUGUAAAGCCCUUUUGUUGGGAAAGAAAAGCAGCAGGUUAAUACCCCGCUGUUCUGACGGUACCCAAAGAAUAAGCACCGGCUAACUUCGUG